rnacentral:rRNA from 1 species
GACGAACGCUGGCGGCGUGCUUAACACAUGCAAGUCGAACGGAAAGGCCCUGCUUUUGUGGGGUGCUCGAGUGGCGAACGGGUGAGUAACACGUGAGUAACCUGCCCUUGACUUUGGGAUAACUUCAGGAAACUGGGGCUAAUACCGGAUAGGAGCUCCUGCUGCAUGGUGGGGGUUGGAAAGUUUCGGCGGUUGGGGAUGGACUCGCGGCUUAUCAGCUUGUUGGUGGGGUAGUGGCUUACCAAGGCUUUGACGGGUAGCCGGCCUGAGAGGGUGACCGGCCACCUUGGGACUGAGAUACGGCCCAGACUCCUACGGGAGGCAGCAGUGGGGAAUAUGGCACAAUGGGCGGAAGCCUGAUGCAGCAACGCCGCGUGCGGGAUGACGGCCUUCGGGUUGUAAACCGCUUUCGCCUGUGACGAAGCGUGAGUGACGGUACUGGGUAAAGAAGCACCGGCUAACUACGUG